AGAGUAAUGCACAAUUAUGCUUCCAACUAUAUUUUUCCUAGUUGAAAAAGUUCCUCCCAGACUCUGCUCUGCAACCUAUCUUCUUCCUCUGUUCAUUUUUUGUUCCUUACACAUCCACGCCAAUUCCAUUCAUCCAUGGUGUACAAGGCAAUCCUCUCGGCCUCUUAGUUACCUUUAUCGACGUCGUCGACCGCGCUACUGGGCCAUUCGGGGAGUUGCAGAGCCCUACCUAUGGGGAGAGAAGUAGCAGCAACAGCUUCUGCUCCUGUGCAGAAGACCCAGAUCUUCAACUUCAACCUUAAAAUCUGCUGCAACAGUUUCGGUCUCUGGUUCUCCAAAUCAAUUUUUAUUAAAUGCAAAAACAACAAUGAGGUCUGAAGCUGCUCCACUGCCUUAACUCGAUCCUCUCUUGAACCACGAGAUGUGCCUCGUUUGGCUGAGAAUUUCAUCACCUAUGAAGAUGCGGCAGUGUCUUUCCAUUUCUAGUGAUGUGUGUCAAUCCACCAAAUGUUGACAUGGUGGGGCAUACUGGUGAUAUUGAUGCUACAGUUGUGGCUUGCAAGGCUACUAAUGAGGCUAUCAAGAUGAUUCUUGAUGUAAUAAAGCAAGAGAGAGGAAUUUAUGUUGAAACUGCAUAAUCAUAUCUUGAAAAGUCAGUUACAAAUGUUAUGAUUGUUGUUAACAAUGAGGAGAACCCAAACACCGCAUUACAUGCACUGAGUUACUUUCAAUAGAGGUUGGAACCAAAUAAUGGCCCUUUGCAGGGAAUGAUUUCUGUGGGAAAGCUACUGCUUGUGAGGUACCUCACUGCUGCAUCUGUGUUGUCUUGGGCAAGCUGGGAUUGACUCACCAAGGGAAAUGAUCUUAAUGAAUAUUUUCUAGAGUCAAAAUUGUGUUAAAUUUUCAACCAUGUUUUCGGGUUGGAGUUAGUAGUUAUAAAGUGGAUGGAUAUGUAUAUAAUAUUGUUGAGGUGCUCUCAACCUAGAGGACAACGUUCUUUGAAGGGACGGCAAUGUAACAAGCCUAAUUAACUUGGGCUCAGCCCAAGCCCAUGGGCCACAUUUACCUUUUACUCUUACUUCUUUUUUCCCAUGUGUUUUUACUUUAGAUUAUUGUAUGGGCCUUUAGUUGUAACAGGUGAGCUUAGUUAACUAGUUUGCAGAUUGUGGUUUUAUUAUCUUGUUGCUACUUUUUAGCCCAAGCCCAGUACGUGGGUUAUAUGUACUGAGCAAAUUUGCUCUGAAGAUUUAUCGAAACAGUAUCAGAAAAUUUCAUUUUUCCUUC